ensembl:misc_RNA Metazoa_SRP Metazoan signal recognition particle RNA
GCCGGGCGUGGUGGUGCAUGCCUGUAAUCCCAGCUACUCGGGAGGCUGAGGCAGGAGAAUCGCUUGAACCCGGGAGGCAGAGAUUGCAGUGAGCCAAGAUUGCACCACUGCACUCCAGCCUGGGUGACAGAGCGAGACUCCAUCUCAA